rnacentral:rRNA from 1 species
AACGAACGCUGGCGGCGUGCUUAACACAUGCAAGUCGAACGAGAAAGUUUCCUUCGGGAAACGAGUAGAGUGGCGCACGGGUGAGUAACGCGUAGGUAAUCUACCCUAAUAUCUGGGAUAACAUUGGGAAACUGGUGCUAAUACCGGAUACCCUUCUUCGCUGCGGGGCGAAGGAGGAAAGGUGGCCUCUUCAUGAAAGCUACCGUAUAAGGAUGAGCCUGCGUACCAUUAGCUAGUAGGUGGGGUAAUGGCCCACCUAGGCAACGAUGGUUAGCGGGUCUGAGAGGAUGAUCCGCCACACUGGAACUGGAACACGGACCAGACUCCUACGGGAGGCAGCAGUGAGGAAUUUUCCGCAAUGGGCGAAAGCCUGACGGAGCAAUACCGCGUGAGGGAUGAAUGCCUAUGGGUUGUAAACCUCUUUUUUCAGGGAGGAAUCAAUGACGUUACCUGAAGAAUAAGCAUCGGCUAACUCCGUG